rnacentral:misc_RNA from 1 species
AAAGUCGUAACAAGGUCUCCGUUGGUGAACCAGCGGAGGGAUCAUUACAGAGUUGCAAAACUCCCUACACCAUUGUGAACAUACCACUGUUGCCUCGGCGGACCCGCCCCGGGCGCUCCCCCUCGCGGGGCGUGUUCCGGGCUCAGGCGGCCGCCGGGGGCUCCAAACCUCUGUUUUUAUAGCGGACUUCUGAGUAUCAUGAGAAAAUAAAUCAAAACUUUCAGCAACGGAUCUCUUGGCUCUG